CUAAGGAGACCAUGCUUGGAAAAUAGUCCAAGUGUAGUUUACCCAAGUCGAUUGCUCGCAGAAGUGAGUAGGAACUUAAAACUCGUCUAGCUAUAUUUUUAAUCUGUUCAAUCUUCAGGGCCCGUAGGUCCUAAUGCGGGGGCAUAGCUCAGCUGGGAGAGCGCCGGCUUUGCAAGCCGGAGGUCAGGAGUUCGAUCCUCCUUGUCUCCACCAUAGUUCUGCUAUGUGUGACUCAAAUGAGCUGCAAUCGCAAGAACCGCAUGCACCUUGACAACUGUAUAAGAAAGAUAGAAGACAUAGAGAAGCAUCUAGUACGACUACCACAACCUAUAGUGGUAGCGAUUUCAAAGUUUAAAUAAACAAAGAAGUUCGUUUUUAGAUACGACUCAUCCAUGUGUUAAAGAAGAUUAAUAAGAACCAAAGAA
rnacentral:tRNA from 1 species